rnacentral:rRNA from 1 species
AUUGAACGCUGGCGGCAGGCCUAACACAUGCAAGUCGAGCGGAUGAAGGGAGCUUGCUCCUGGACUCAGCGGCGGACGGGUGAGUAAUGCCUAGGAAUCUGCCUGGUAGUGGGGGAUAACGUCCGGAAACGGGCGCUAAUACCGCAUACGUCCUGAGGGAGAAAGUGGGGGAUCUUCGGACCUCACGCUCUCAGAUGAGCCUAGGUCGGAUUAGCUAGUUGGUGGGGUAAAGGCCUACCAAGGCGACGAUCCGUAACUGGUCUGAGAGGAUGAUCAGUCACACUGGAACUGAGACACGGUCCAGACUCCUACGGGAGGCAGCAGUGGGGAAUAUUGGACAAUGGGCGAAAGCCUGAUCCAGCCAUGCCGCGUGUGUGAAGAAGGUCUUCGGAUUGUAAAGAACUUUAAGUUGGGAGGAAGGGCAGUAAGUUAAUACCUUGCUGUUUUGACGUUACCAACAGAAUAAGCACCGGCUAACUUCGUG